UGGUUCGUGAUGGAUCGACCUUAUAAAGUCUUAAUGAUUACCCUUUCCAACAAGCAACAGUGGGGUUGUUCUGCUCAAUCCUGCUAUUUUUUAGUCCAUUAAUUUGCUACUGAAUAUAUACAGUUCUUGCAAGAGAACGAACAUAAGUGUAUUUGGGUGAGGCACCAGAUACAACAUCUCACUUUUCGUUUUGGAAGUUAUUUUUAUUUAACUCCAAGAGGUCACCAGCUGAAGGUAUGGUACAUUCUGAUCUUUUUGUUUGUCACUAAGCUUGACAACAUCUCACCAACUAUAGCAGUAAUGUGAUUCAUUCUUUAGGUUGUGUUUGGCAAUGAAAUAGUAAUUUGGCUGCUGAGGUAUCAAGGCGGAAAAAGUUUAAUUCACCCCGAGAAGAGCCCUCCGAGAACAAUUGUUUUGGACUUUUGUGGUACUCUCAAGUGAGGGGGCUUUUGUGGUCUUGCUAAUAUAGAUAAACCAUAACCAUAUUUUAUAUGAUUCUCAACAUCCUUGGAGCGAAAGACAGUAACUGCAUAAUGAAGUUUAAAUCAUAU